rnacentral:rRNA from 1 species
GACGAACGCUGGCGGCGUGCUUAACACAUGCAAGUCGAACGGAAAGGCCCUGCUUUUGUGGGGUGCUCGAGUGGCGAACGGGUGAGUAACACGUGAGUAACCUGCCCUUGACUUUGGGAUAACUUCAGGAAACUGGGGCUAAUACCGGAUAGGAGCUCCUGCUGCAUGGUGGGGGUUGGAAAGUUUCGGCGGUUGGGGAUGGACUCGCGGCUUAUCAGCUUGUUGGUGGGGUAGUGGCUUACCAAGGCUUUGACGGGUAGCCGGCCUGAGAGGGUGACCGGCCACAUUGGGACUGAGAUACGGCCCAGACUCCUACGGGAGGCAGCAGUGGGGAAUAUUGCACAAUGGGCGGAAGCCUGAUGCAGCAACGCCGCGUGCGGGAUGACGGCCUUCGGGUUGUAAACCGCUUUCGCCUGUGACGAAGCGUGAGUGACGGUAAUGGGUAAAGAGGCACCGGCUAACGACG